rnacentral:rRNA from 1 species
UACAGAGGCCUCAAGCGUUGUUCGGAUUCAUUGGGCGUAAAGGGUGCGUAGGCGGCGCGGUAAGUCGGGUGUGAAAUCUUGGAGCUUAACUCCGAAACUGCAUUCGAUACUGCCGUGCUUGAGGACUGGAGAGGAGACUGGAAUUUACGGUGUAGCGGUGAAAUGCGUAGAUAUCGUAAGGAAGACCAGUGGCGAAGGCGGGUCUCUGGACAGUUCCUGACGCUGAGGCACGAAAGCCAGGGGAGCGAACGGG